AUUGAACGCUGGCGGCAUGCCUUACACAUGCAAGUCGAACGGCAGCACGGGAGCAAUCCUGGUGGCGAGUGGCGAACGGGUGAGUAAUAUAUCGGAACGUGCCCGGUCGUGGGGAUAACGUAGCGAAAGCUACGCUAAUACCGCAUACGAGCUACGGAUGAAAGCGGGGGAUCGCAAGACCUCGCGCGAUUGGAGCGGCCGAUAUCAGAUUAGGUAGUUGGUGAGGUAAAGGCUCACCAAGCCGACGAUCUGUAGCUGGUCUGAGAGGACGACCAGCCACACUGGGACUGAGACACGGCCCAGACUCCUACGGGAGGCAGCAGUGGGGAAUUUUGGACAAUGGGCGCAAGCCUGAUCCAGCAAUGCCGCGUGCAGGAUGAAGGCC
rnacentral:rRNA from 1 species